rnacentral:rRNA from 1 species
AUUGAACGCUGGCGGCAGGCCUAACACAUGCAAGUCGAGCGGAGCGACGGACGGGUGAGUAAUGCCUAUGAAUCUGCCUGGUAGUUGGGGAUAACGUCCUGAAACGGACGCUAAUACCGCAUACUAUCAGAUGAGCCUAGGUCGGAUUAGCUAGUUGGUAGGGUAAAGGCCUACCAAGGCGACGAUCCGUAACUGGGCUGAGAGGAUGAUCAGUCACACUGGAACUGAGACACGGUCCAGACGCCUACGGGAGGCAGCAGUGGGGAAUAUUGGACAAUGGGCGAAAGCCUGAUGCAGCCAUGCCGCGUGUGCGAAGAAGGUCUUCGGAUUGUAAAGCACUUUAAGUUGGGAGGCGUUACCAACAGAAUAAGCACCGGCUAACUUCGUGCCAGCAGCCGCGGUAAUAC